AAGGUAAAGAGAAGGCCGUCAUACAGAAAGAGAAAACAACUGACAGACCAAUUAAUCACAUUGCUAAAGAUGAUUCCCAUGAGGUAAUGUUCACCUUCAUCCUGAGGUCUCUGCCCAUCGUCGCCCUCAUCACUGCCUUCUUUUGGCUCUACUACGUAGGGACUAAAGCCCAGAGAGAAAAAGCAGCUGCUUCUGGAAAUAAAGCGUCUUCGCAACAACGUACAGAGGAAAACCAAGAAGCAAUUGUGACAAAAGAAGCAAAAGGGAAACGAACAAAGACUCGAGUGUCUACUGAUCCUCAUGUUCGCCCAGUACAGGACGUGGACUGAACUGCCUAUAGGUCCAUUUAUUUAUAUAUUCAGUCAGCCGACUUGUAGGUCACAGGGAUGUUGGAGCCUGUAUCUCUAACAGUCUUUGGGUGAGAGGCAGGGUUUCUUCCUGAGCUGAACUGGCUACCAGCCAAGCAAAGGUCAACUACAGACACAAACCAGACAAAAACAUUCAAACACAACUAAGUGUAAGUUAAAAUAUCCAGUCAACCAAACAUGAAUGGUUGUGGAGGAAGGAAAGAAGCAAGAAGGAAAAACACAAUUUAUAAAGUGUCUUUCAAGUGCUUCAACAAACAAAAUGACAAAUACAUAAAACAAAGUAACUACAAGUUUACAAGAAGUUUAUGUACGUGUGGGUGAAGGGCCAGGGCAAAGUGCAAUGUUCCUUUUGAACCUCAAUUAGCAUUUUGUAUGGAAGCCAGAAAUACAGAAUAUCAUUAAAACAGUUCAACCCUUUAGCUGGUUUGGCUAAGACAUGUUUUAAUGAAGGUAUUGCAAUAUUAAAUAUAAAAUGUGCUCUGUAUUGCAUUCCGUACCAGUUUUGCACACAAAUGUCACGUUUUUGUCAUGUAAAACAUUUACUUACUUUUUUUUUUCAUAAUUUUUUUUCGUUGCAAAAUGUGGAAAAAGUAUAAAUGGUAUGAGUCAUGAAUGUAACAAUGAAUCACAGAGAUCUUUCUUAGCCAAGAUUUUUCAAGUUGUGCUAGUUUGUGACCUUAUCGGUGGAACAUAUUAUGCAAAUUUACUAUCCAAUAUCAGUGCAAGACCAAAAGACUGAACUAUAUAGUGUUCAGUCACAAGUUUGGGUGUAAAACCAGAAGAGAGUAAACAUUUGUACAUUUAUUUUUGUUUGAAAUAGAGAUCUUGUGAUGUUAACACUUAAAGGGUUAACUGUUGCUGACACUUUACCAGAGACUGAUAAAGUUUUCCUGGAUGCUUGGUCACUGUUGUAUCUAUAGAAUCUGAGGCCUUCACAGAACAGAGACAAUUACUCAUAUUUUUGUUAUCUGUUAAAAUUUUAGAAACCACAUUAUUUUUUUUCCACUUCAAGAUCUCACACUCUGUUGUGUUUCUAGUUGCAAAAUUGUAAAAUGUGGAAAAAGUAUAAAGGGUUUUAGUCAUGAAUGUAACUGAAAGCUAACAUAGAGACAAACCUUUAUCUUAAUUAAGAAGCAUUGUUGUGUAACCUGCAGUUUUCAGAUUAAUUUAAAAAUGAAGAGCUUUCCUCCAGACAUGUUCUAAAGAAACGAAGGUCACCUCCAGGAAAGUGUGACAGUGUUUCUGCGUCAUCGGCUCUGAGUGGUUAACCGAACAAAGGUUUACCACCAGCUUCACACAGAGCUAUAAAAACUUUAAAGUGCUCCGUCAAUGUUUAUAUUUAUUAAACCCAACAACGAUUUUCUGACAUAGAAUCACAACAUUACUAUUCAUCUGAUAUUGUAUUGGCAGCAGAUUAAGAAAAAUCUUUUUCUUUUAAAGCUGGAAAUAAAAACCCAGAGGGCUGCACUCAGAAUACUGGUGUUUUGCGCCCCCUGCUGGUGAAACAGAUGUUUCACCAGUCUGGAUGUGAUUAUUGCUAGCUGAAUUCUUGCUAGCUACUUGCCAUUGGUUACUUGGAUCAGAUGUUUUCCGUUUUCUGCAGUCAUGAGAAUGUUAAAUUAAGUUGUUUUUCAGACAUCAGGAGCAUAGAGUUUGCUUCCACUGUCGCUUUCAUUUUCAAUUCAUUAAGUUCAGUUCAAAAAAAAAAUUCUUAUUAUUCAAAAGGGGAAAUUAAAUGUUGCUGAACUCAAACUAUUCAAGUUUCUUCAGAGUUGUUGCUGAAGGUUGUGGUUAGGAAGGAUCUCCUGUAGUGGUCAGCAUUACAGCUUUU